UCCUAAUUAACCACAAGGAUACAGGGGAUUAGAUGGGGAUUAGUAGAGACUCUCUUGUCUUUCUCUCUUUCAUUGUCUUCUCUGUGAUGCAAUGUCCAACACUGGCUCUCAAACAGUCUUAUGUGGUGUACCUAGGCAGUCAUUCACAUGGGGUUGAACCUACUUCUUCAUUGCACUUCAGCAAAAUAACCGAUUCCUAUUAUGAUCUCUUGGGUUCUUGCAUGGGCAGCAAGAAGAAGGCACAAGAAGCAAUUUUUUACUCUUACACAAGUUACAUAAAUGGUUUUGCUGCUGUCCUGGAAGAUGAAGAGGCAGCUGAGCUUUCAAAGCAGUCAGGAGUUUUAUCUGUUUUCUUAAACCAGAAAAAUGAACUGCACACGACUAGGUCCUGGGAGUUCCUUGGACUAGAGAGAAAUGGAGAGAUUCCUGCAAAUUCUAUCUGGGUGAAGGCGAGAUUUGGCGAAGACAUCAUUAUUGGGAACCUUGACACUGGUGUUUGGCCAGAAUCGGACAGCUUCAAUGACAAAGGAAUGGAGCCAAUUCCAUCCAAGUGGAAAGGUUACUUACUGUGAGCCUAGUGAUGGUGUUAAGUGCAACAGGAAGCUGAUCGGAGCAAGGUACUUCAACAAAGGGUAUGAAGCAGCCUUGGGGAGGCCGCUCGAUUCCUCCUACCAAACUGCAAGAGAUACAAAUGGGCAUGGCACGCAUACACUGUCCACAGCUGGUGGUGGAUUUGUUGGUGGAGCAAACCUCUUGGGUUCAGGCUAUGGAACUGCAAGGGGCGGAUCUCCUAGUGCUCGAGUUGCCUCGUACAAGGUUUGCUGGCCAAGUUGCUAUGAUGCUGAUAUAUUGGCUGCCUUUGAUGCUGCCAUACAUGAUGGGGUUGACGUCCUCUCUGUUUCACUUGGAGGUCCUCCUCGUGAUUAUUUCUUGGACAGCAUCGCAAUUGGAUCUUUUCAAGCUGUCAAGAAGGGAAUUGUUGUUGUCUGCUCAGCUGGGAAUUCUGGCCCCACGCCUGGGAGUGUUGAAAAUUUGGCACCAUGGAUUAUAACUGUUGCAGCUAGUACAAUUGAUAGGGAUUUUCCCUCUUAUGUCAUGUUGGGCAAUAACGAGCAAUUCAAGGGCCUGAGCUUCUAUACCAAUAGUUUACCGGCUGCGAAGUUUUAUCCCCUGGUAUAUUCUGUAGAUGCUAGAGCUCCUAAUGCUUCUGCAAGAGACGCACAACUUUGCUUUGUUGGAUCCCUGGACCCCGAGAAGGUGAAAGGGAAGAUAGUAUACUGCCUGAUUGGCCUCAAUGAAAUCGUUCAGAAGAGCUGGGUGGUUGCUCAGGCAGGUGGCAUCGGGAUGAUUCUUGCUAACCGUCUGUCCACUAGUACAUUGAUUCCUCAGGCCCACUUUGUUCCCACUUCAUAUGUCUCUGCAGCUGAUGGUCUUGCCAUUUUGUUAUACAUCCACAUUACAAAGUACCCAGUGGCUUACAUCAGAGGAGCAACUGAAGUAGGUACAGUAGCAGCACCAAUCAUGGCUUCCUUUUCGUCUCAGGGUCUUAAUACGAUCACUCCAGGAAUUCUCAAGCCUGACAUCACCGCACCCGGAGUGAACAUUUUAGCUGCAUACAUAGAAGCAAAGGGGCCUACGUUUCUUCAAUCAGAUGAUCGUCGUGUUCUCUUCAACAUCGUAUCUGGUACUUCAAUGUCAUGCCCUCAUGUUUCUGGGACUGUAGGCCUUCUCAAAAAGAUUCACCCUCAUUGGAGUCCAUCAGCCAUAAGAUCUGCAAUCAUGACCACCGAGAGAACCAGAAAUAAUGUGAGACAACCUAUGGCAAAUGGUACACUUGAGGAGGCAAACCCUUUCAACUAUGGUGCAGGACAUCUCUGGCCUAACCGUGCAAUGGACCCAGGCUUGGUCUAUGACUUGACCACCAUUGACUACUUGAACUUUCUGUGCACUAUUGGCUAUAAUGCAACCCUACUGUCAAGGUUUGUGGACGAGCCAUAUGAAUGCCCACCAAAUCCUAUGAGCGUUCUGGAUUUAAACUACCCCUCAAUUACUGUCCCCAGUUUCUCAGGCAAGGUAACAGUGACUAGGACCCUGAAGAAUGUUGGAUCUCCAGCUACAUACACGGUUCGAACUGAGGUGCCUAGUGGACUAUUGGUGAAGGUGGAACCUGAGAGACUGAAAUUCGAAAAGAUUAAUGAAGAGAAAACAUUCAAGGUGACACUGGAGGCCAAGAGAGAUGGUGAGGGAAGUGGGUAUAUUUUUGGAAGGCUCAUAUGGUCAGAUGGAGAACACUACGUCAGAAGCCCUAUAGUGGUCAAUGCAACCACUCUUCAUAUGUAAUCAUGCUUUUGAUUGAUCUUUAUGUAAUACAUAUGGGUAAUUAUAACAAAUAAAUCUAUAUAUACCAUGUGGAAUCAACAAUAAUAGAAGACAGACCUUCGACUUACCUUA